CCUACGGGCGGCAGCAGUGAGGAAUAUUGGUCAAUGGCCGGAAGGCUGAACCAGCCAAGUCGCGUGAGGGACGACUGCCCUAUGGGUUGUAAACCUCUUUUAUAAGGGAAGAAUAAAUGCUACGUGUAGCAUGAUGCCUGUACCUUAUGAAUAAGCAUCGGCUAACUCCGUGCCAGCAGCCGCGGUAAUACGGGGGAUGCGAGCGUUAUCCGGAUUUAUUGGGUUUAAAGGGUGCGUAGACGGUUUUUUAAGUUAGUGGUUAAGCGUCGGGGCUUCACCUUGAUUUGCCAUUAAUACUGUAAGACUCGAGUUAAGACGAGGUAGGCAGAAUAAG
rnacentral:rRNA from 1 species